UCGGAUAUGGUGUAACGGCUAACAUUGCCGCCUCUCAUGACCCACCAGGUCCUUAGUCACCGGGAAAAAACAUCCCGGGGUCUUUUCCCGGUGGCUAACCGCGCGGCAGCUCGGGGUUCGAUUCCCCGUACCCGAA